rnacentral:rRNA from 1 species
AGAGCGAACGCUGGCGGCAGGCCUAACACAUGCAAGUCGAGCGCCCCGCAAGGGGAGCGGCAGACGGGAGAGUAACACGUGGGAACGUACCCUUUGGUUCGGAACAACACAGGGAAACUUGUGCUAAUACCGGAUAAGCCCUUACGGGGAAAGAUUUAUCGCCAAAGGAUCGGCCCGCGUCUGAUUAGCUAGUUGGUGGGAUAACGGCUCACCAAGGCUACGAUCAGUAGCUGGUCUGAGAGGAUGAUCAGCCUCACUGGGACUGAGACACGGCCCAGACUCCUACGGGAGGCAGCAGUGGGGAAUAUUGGACAAUGGGCGCAAGCCUGAUCCAGCCAUGCCGCGUGGGUGAUGAAGGCCCUAGGGUUGUAAAGCCCUUUCGGCGGGGAAGAUAAUGACGGUACCGCGAGAAGAAGCCCGGCUAACUUCGUGCCAGCAGCCGC